rnacentral:rRNA from 1 species
GAUGAACGCUGGCGGCGUGCCUAAUACAUGCAAGUCGAGCGAACGGACGAGAAGCUUGCUUCUCUGAUGUUAGCGGCGGACGGGUGAGUAACACGUGGAUAACCUACCUAUAAGACUGGGAUAACUUCGGGAAACCGGAGCUAAUACCGGAUAAUAUUUUGAACCGCAUGGUUCAAAAGUGAAAGACGGUCUUGCUGUCACUUAUAGAUGGAUCCGCGCUGCAUUAGCUAGUUGGUAAGGUAACGGCUUACCAAGGCAACGAUGCAUAGCCGACCUGAGAGGGUGAUCGGCCACACUGGAACUGAGACACGGUCCAGACUCCUACGGGAGGCAGCAGUAGGGAAUCUUCCGCAAUGGGCGAAAGCCUGACGGAGCAACGCCGCGUGAGUGAUGAAGGUCUUCGGAUCGUAAAACUCUGUUAUUAGGGAAGAACAUAUGUGUAAGUAACUGUGCACAUCUUGACGGUACCUAAUCAGAAAGCCACGGCUAACUACGUGCCAGCAGCCGCGGUAAUACGUAGGUGGCAAGCGUUAUCCGGAAUUAUUGGGCGUAAAGCGCGCGUAGGCGGUUUUUUAAGUCUGAUGUGAAAGCCCACGGCUCAACCGUGGAGGGUCAUUGGAAACUGGAAAACUUGAGUGCAGAAGAGGAAAGUGGAAUUCCAUGUGUAGCGGUGAAAUGCGCAGAGAUAUGGAGGAACACCAGUGGCGAAGGCGACUUUCUGGUCUGUAACUGACGCUGAUGUGCGAAAGCGUGGGGAUCAAACAGGAUUAGAUACCCUGGUAGUCCACGCCGUAAACGAUGAGUGCUAAGUGUUAGGGGGUUUCCGCCCCUUAGUGCUGCAGCUAACGCAUUAAGCACUCCGCCUGGGGAGUACGACCGCAAGGUUGAAACUCAAAGGAAUUGACGGGGACCCGCACAAGCGGUGGAGCAUGUGGUUUAAUUCGAAGCAACGCGAAGAACCUUACCAAAUCUUGACAUCCUUUGACAACUCUAGAGAUAGAGCCUUCCCCUUCGGGGGGGCAAAGUGACAGGUGGUGCAUGGUUGUCGUCAGCUCGUGUCGUGAGAUGUUGAGUUAAGUCCCGCAACGAGCGCAACCCUUAAGCUUAGUUGCCAUCAUUAAGUUGGGCACUCUAAGUUGACUGCCGGUGACAAACCGGAGGAAGGUGGGGAUGACGUCAAAUCAUCAUGCCCCUUAUGAUUUGGGCUACACACGUGCUACAAUGGACAAUACAAAGGGCAGCGAAACCGCGAGGUCAAGCAAAUCCCAUAAAGUUGUUCUCAGUUCGGAUUGUAGUCUGCAACUCGACUACAUGAAGCUGGAAUCGCUAGUAAUCGUAGAUCAGCAUGCUACGGUGAAUACGUUCCCGGGUCU